AGUGAACGCUGGCGGUAGGCCUAACACAUGCAAGUCGAACGGCAGCACAGUAAGAGCUUGCUCUUACGGGUGGCGAGUGGCGGACGGGUGAGGAAUAUAUCGGAAUCUACUUUUUCGUGGGGGAUAACGUAGGGAAACUUACGCUAAUACCGCAUACGACCUACGGGUGAAAGCAGGGGAUCUUCGGACCUUGCGCGAUUGAAUGAGCCGAUGUCGGAUUAGCUAGUUGGCGGGGUAAAGGCCCACCAAGGCGACGAUCCGUAGCUGGUCUGAGAGGAUGGUCGGCCACACUGGAGCUGAGACACGGACCAGGCGCCUACGGGAGGCAGCAGUGGGGAAUAGUGGGCAAUGGGCGCAAGCCUGAUCCAGCCAGACCGCGUGGGUGAAGAAGGCCUUCGGGUUGUAAAGCCCUUUUGUUGGGAAAGAAAAGCAGCAGGUUAAUACCCCGCUGUUCUGACGGUACCCAAAGAAUAAGCACCGGCUAACUUCGUG
rnacentral:rRNA from 1 species